GAGUUUGAUCCUGGCUCAGGAUGAACGCUGGCGGCGUGCCUAACACAUGCAAGUCGAGCGAUGAAGUUUCCUUCGGGAAAUGGAUUAGCGGCGGACGGGUGAGUAACACGUGGGUAACCUGCCUCAUAGUGGGGGAUAGCCUUCCGAAAGGGAGAUUAAUACCGCAUAACAUCAUUAGAUGGCAUCAUUUAGUGAUUAAAGGAUUUAUUCGCUAUGAGAUGGACCCGCGUCGCAUUAGCUAGUUGGUAGGGUAAUGGCUUACCAAGGCGACGAUGCGUAGCCGACCUGAGAGGGUGAUCGGCCACAUUGGGACUGAGACACGGCCCAGACUCCUACGGGAGGCAGCAGUGGGGAAUAUUGCACAAUGGGGGAAACCCUGAUGCAGCAACGCCGCGUGAGUGAUGACGGUCUUCGGAUUGUAAAGCUCUGUCUUUGGGGACGAUAAUGACGGUACCCAAGGAGGAAGCCACGGCUAACUACGUGCCAGCAGCCGCGGUAAUACGUAGGUGGCGAGCGUUAUCCGGAAUUAUUGGGCGUAAAGGGAGCGUAGGCGGAUAAUUAAGUGGGAUGUGAAAUACUCAGGCUCAACCUGGGGGCUGCAUUCCAAACUGAUUAUCUAGAGUGCAGGAGAGGAGAGUGGAAUUCCUAGUGUAGCGGUGAAAUGCGUAGA
rnacentral:rRNA from 1 species